UAUAAUCCAAUCCAAACAGCUAGAACUCCACAUACACCAGAUGGCGAAAUCAUACUCCAUAUCUGUUCAUUGAUUCGAUUCAAAUCAAUUCAAGAUACCCUUACUCUGCUACAAGCUCACAUGCUAGAAUCUGUUCUACACAGUUCGAAUUUAUCAUCAAUUUGUACGUUGUAGGCUCGCCACGACGCCAUUGUCUUUCAGUUGCGACAUGAUAUUAAUCUACAAUAGCUUCACGCGUCCUUUCGUAUUGUACUGAUCUCUUUGAAGUGAAGUUUUCUGUACCGAUACAUUGGUGGAUCGAUGUCUGAUUCUAGCAAGAGAGGGAAAAUAUGUUACUCCGGUGAACUACAUUGAAACUUGGACAUCCACUCAUUGAGAGGGAAUGUUGCCGGUCAGCUUUCAUGUGAACUUCAAAAAGGCAGGAUCUCUCAAUCUGCAUCUGAGCAUUCAUGGAUAUAAUAGCUUAUAAAGAUCUUGUGGAGGAGACGCGCUAAAGAACUUCAUCAAAGCAUGACAUCUCCAUCUAAUAUUUCCAUCUUGCAAGCAGCAAGUUUAUUUCAUGCAUCUUCUGCUCAACUCCGAUAACAUAUAUCUCUUCACAAAUCACUACAUUUGAAAAGGACAACCAUGGAUAUUUGCUGAGCUCAUCCUCCAUUGAUCAGGAAAUCAUGUGGUUCAUACAGCUGCAUAACUCCCCAUACCCUCUUUUGAAUCUAUGCAGAGUAGAAAGAAGAUUUUUCAACUUACUUCACCAACUACCACUGUGAGUUCAUAUGGUCCCAACUUUCUGCGUUUAAUGUAUUUCUGCUUCUUUUGCUACUUUAUUAUAGAAAAAAAAAAUGGCACUGCUUGAGAUGAAAGACAAAUAUCCUUUUUAUAUGUUUCAAUCAGCAGUAAAAAGAGUCAAAAUCAUGUAGCAUUCAUUUCCACAUGAGAGAGAAUCUGCUUUCUGUUGCCUUUGUAUGUAAACGUUAGCUCAUACAAUUGUCUUUUUUGGCUUGCUUUCAAUUUGCACCCACUCCCAGUUGCUUUCCUUGGACACCAUUCACAUAUUUGGUCUCUCCCCACCCUCCAUAUAACCAAGAGCCUCCUACCUGUGCCCCUAAAUUUAAGGUUCUCACCCACCUAGCUGUCCCUUUCCAAUCUUCUGCUGGUCCUCAAAUUGAGUAAUGGCUGAUUCUGUAGGACACUGUUCAGGACCAAAAUGGGACACUGAUCCCCUCUCAGCCCUGAGCCCAAACUGCAAGUUGAAAGACAGAGCCAUGUGAAACCCUUGUGAACUCUUCUCUAACCAGACCCCAACCCAACCUGCUUCUUCCUCCAUUGCCUCAGAACUUUGAUAUCUUCCUUUUCCACCAAUUUAUCAAUAUAAAUACGGACAUAAACUUGUGGUUGAAUUGCACUUUCAGUUCAUUGUUCGUUAACGACGAAAAACUGACAUGGGAACCGUUUACAGAGUGUCAUUGUAACACCCCAGAUCUACCACUAGUAGAUAUUGUCCUCUUUGGGCUUUCCCUUCCGAACUUCCUCUCAAAGUUUUUAAAGCGCGUCUGCUAGGAAGAG